rnacentral:rRNA from 1 species
CCUACGGGUGGCUGCAGUGGGGAAUAUUGCACAAUGGGGGAAACCCUGAUGCAGCGACGCCGCGUGAGUGAAGAAGUAUCUCGGUACGUAAAGCUCUAUCAGCAGGGAAGAAAAUGACGGUACCUGACUAAGAAGCCCCGGCUAACUACGUGCCAGCAGCCGCGGUAAUACGUAGGGGGCAAGCGUUAUCCGGAUUUACUGGGUGUAAAGGGAGCGUAGACGGGAGCACAAGUCUGGAGUGAAAUCCCGGGGCUUAACCCCGGAACUGCGUUGGAAACUGGGCGGCUGGAGUGUAGGAGGGGUAAGCGGAAUUCCUAGUGUAGCGGUGAAAUGCGUAGAUAUUAGGAGGAACACCGGUGGCGAAGGCGGCUUACUGGACUGUAACUGACGUUGAGGCUCGAAAGCGUGGGGAGUAAACAGGAUUAGAUACCCGAGUAGUC